GAUGAACGCUGGCGGCGUGCCUAAUACAUGCAAGUCGAGCGAACAGACGAGGAGCUUGCUCCUCUGACGUUAGCGGCGGACGGGUGAGUAACACGUGGAUAACCUACCUAUAAGACUGGGAUAACUUCGGGAACCGGAGCUAAUACCGGAUAAUAUAUUGAACCGCAUGGUUCAAUAGUGAAAGACGGUUUUGCUGUCACUUAUAGUUGGAUCCGCGCCGCAUUAGCUAGUUGGUAAGGUAACGGCUUACCAAGGCAACGAUGCGUAGCCGACCUGAGAGGGUGAUCGGCCACACUGGAACUGAGACACGGUCCAGACUCCUACGGGAGGCAGCAGUAGGGAAUCUUCCGCAAUGGGCGAAAGCCUGACGGAGCAACGCCGCGUGAGUGAUGAAGGUCUUCGGAUCGUAAAACUCUGUUAUUAGGGAAGAACAAAUGUGUAAGUAACUAUGCACGUCUUGACGGUACCUAAUCAGAAAGCCACGGCUAACUACGUG
rnacentral:rRNA from 1 species